UUACGGCCACAUCAGGUUGAAACACCUUUUCUCGUAUGACCACUAAAGUUAAGAAACGUCGAACCUGGUCAGUACCUCGAUGGGUGACCGCUUGGGGAUACCAGGAGCUGUAAG